rnacentral:rRNA from 1 species
AUCUGGCUCCUUCGGGGCCCGAGUUGUAAUUUGCUGAGGAUGCUUCGGGUACGGGUUCCUUCCGAGUUCCCUGGAACGGGACGCCAUAAAGGGUGAGAGCCCCGUCUGGUAGGACACCCAGCCCGUGUGAAGCUCCCUCGACGAGUCGAGUAGUUUGGGAAUGCUGCUCUAACGGGAGGUAUACUCCUUCCAAGGCUAAAUACCGGCUGGAGACCGAUAGCGCACAAGUAGAGUGAUCGAAAGAUGAAAAGCACUUUGAAAAGAGAGUCAAAUAGCACGUGAAAUUGUUGAAAGGGAAGCGCUCGCUACCAGACAUGGGUUCGGCGGUUCAACCGGGGCCACGCCCCGGGGCACUCCGCCGGCCCAGGCCAGCAUCAGCUUUCCGUCGGGGGCAAAGGCGUCGGGAAUGUGGCUCUCCUUCGGGGGAGUGUUAUAGCCCGGCGUGUCAUACCCUUCGGGGGGCUGAGGUACGCGCUUCUGCAAGGAU